rnacentral:rRNA from 1 species
CCCUUAGAUGUUCUGGGCUGCACGCGCGCUACACUGAUGCGCUCAACGAGUUUACGACCUUGCCCGGAAGGGUUGGGUAAUCUUUUUAAAACGCAUCGUGAUGGGGAUAGAUUAUUGAAAUUAUUAAUCUUGAACGAGGAAUUCCUAGUAAACGCAGAUCAUCAAUCUGCAUUGAUUACGUCCCUGCCCUUUGUACACACCGCCCGUCGCACCUACCGAUUGGAUGGUCCGGUGAAGCCUCGGGAUUGUGGUUCUUGCCGCUUUAUUGUGGCGUGACCGCGAGAACUUGUCUAAACCUUAUCAUCUAGAGGAAGGUGAAGUCGUAACA